rnacentral:rRNA from 1 species
UCUGGGAUAACCUCCGGAAACGGAAGCUAAUACCGGAUAUGACGCACGGAGGCAUCUCCUGUGCGUGGAAAGAACUUCGGUCAAGGAUGGACUCGCGGCCUAUCAGGUAGUUGGUGAGGUAACGGCUCACCAAGCCUACGACGGGUAGCCGGCCUGAGAGGGUGACCGGCCACACUGGGACUGAGACACGGCCCAGACUCCUACGGGAGGCAGCAGUGGGGAAUAUUGCACAAUGGGCGCAAGCCUGAUGCAGCAACGCCGCGUGAGGGAUGACGGCCUUCGGGUUGUAAACCUCUUUUAGUAGGGAAGAAGCGAAAGUGACGGUACCUGCAGAAAAAGCACCGGCUAACUACGUGCCAGCAGCCGCGGUAAUACGUAGGGUGCGAGCGUUGUCCGGAAUUAUUGGGCGUAAAGAGCUCGUAGGCGGUCUGUCGCGUCUGCUGUGAAAACCCGAGGCUCAACCUCGGGCCUGCAGUGGGUACGGGCAGACUAGAGUGCGGUAGGGGAGAAUGGAAUUCCUGGUGUAGCGGUGGAAUGCGCAGAUAUCAGGAGGAACACCGAUGGCGAAGGCAGUUCUCUGGGCCGUAACUGACGC